AACGUAGGGCGCGAGCGUUGUCCGGAUUUAUUGGGCGUAAAGAGCUCGUAGGCGGCUUGUCGCGUCUGCUGUGAAAACUCGGGGCUUAACUCCGGGCCUGCAGUGGGUACGGGCAGACUAGAGUGCGGUAGGGGAGACUGGAAUUCCUGGUGUAGCGGUGAAAUGCGCAGAUAUCAGGAGGAACACCGGUGGCGAAGGCGGGUCUCUGGGCCGUAACUGACGCUGAGGAGCGAAAGCGUGGGGAGCGAACAGG
rnacentral:rRNA from 1 species